ensembl:lncRNA
CAGUCGCUCAGUCGUGUCUGACUCUUUGUGACCCCAUGGACUGCAGCACAACAGGCUUCCUUGUCCUUCACCAUCUCCCGGAGCUUCCUCAAACUCAAGUCCGUUGAGUCGGUGAUGCCAUCCAACCAUCUCAUCCUCUGUCAACUUUCCGAUGAGUUGGCUCUUUCCAUCAGGUGGCCAAAGUACUGGAGCUUCAGCAUCAGUCCUUCCAUUUGCAGACAGAGAAGCUUGAUGAAUCUUUCCAAGGUCACAAGGAUAAUACAUAGUGGAGUUGAAGUUCAUUCCCUGGUCUGACUCCCUGCAACUCGCUGUCCUCUGUUCAAGGUGAUUGUGAGCAUUCAGCUCCACAGAUGAGAUCGUUUAAUAUGUAUUGUUUUUCCCUAUGUGUAAUUACUAUUAAAAAAAACCAGUUUACUUAGGUUGUAAAGUUUGAUAAUAAAUAGAGCUGGUAAAAAUACAGGACUGCAAAUAUUCUCAUAUACUGUGGAUGAAAGUGUCAGUUGCUACAGCCUCUUUGGAAGUGAGUUGGCACUGUCUGUUACAAUUACAACAAAGGAAACUGACUCAGUAGUUAUCCUUCUAGGAAUUUAUCCUAUAGGUAGGUUUAUUUAUAGCAACAACCAAAGUUCCAUGUGCAAGGAAGUUGAUUGUGGCAUUGUUUGUAACAGCAAAAACCAGAAACAAUCACUGCUACUGCUACUGCUAAGUCCCUUCAGUCAUGUCCGACUCUGUGCGACCCCGUAGACGGCAGCCCAUCAGGCUCCCUCGUCCCUGGGAUUCUCCAGGCAAGAACACUGGAGUGGGUUGCCAUUUCCUUCUCCAAUGCAUGAAAGUGAAAAGUGAAAGUGAAGUUGCUCAGUCAUGUCCUACUCUUCACAACCCCAUGGGCUGCAGCCUACCAGGCUCCUCCAUCCAUGGGAUUUUCCAGGCAAGAAUACUGGAGUGGGGUGCCAAAGGGGGCCUGGUUACAUAAUGGAUGGUCCCUGCCUGAAAAGGAAUACAAUGCAGCCCUGAAAAAACACAGGCUAGGUCUGUAUGCACUACGCUAUGCUAUGCUAAGUCACUUCAGUCGUGUCCGACUCUGUGCGACCCCAUAGACGGCAGCCACCAGGCUCCCCCGUCCCUGGGAUUCUCCAGGCAAGAACACUGGAGUGGGUUGCCAUUUCCUUCUCCAAAUUUCCAAGAUGUAUCACUAAGGAGAAAAUGCAAGUUCCUCAGCAGUAGUGCAGUAUAAUUAAAUCUGUAUAAAACCAAAGAGUAUAAAACACUUCUAGAAAAGUAUGCAAGUAACUAAUUACUAACAGUAAUUACUUCUGGAAGUUGGGAUAGGGCAGGAACUCUCUUACAUUUGAAUAUUUGAAAUAAAAUUUUAUUGAAGUAUA